rnacentral:rRNA from 1 species
AGCGAACGCUGGCGGCAGGCUUAACACAUGCAAGUCGAGCGGGCACUUUCGGGUGUCAGCGGCUGACGGGUGAGUAACGCGUGGGAACGUGCGCUCUGGUUCGGAAUAACUCAGGGGAACUUGAGCUAAUACCGGAUACGCCCUUUUGGGGAAAGGCUUGGGGCCGGGGGAUGGGCGGGGGGCUGAUUAGCUAGUUGGUGGGGUAGCGGCUUACCAAGGCGUCGACGGGUAGCUGGUCUGAGCGGGUGACCGGCCACAAUGGGACUGAGAUACGGACCAGAGUCCAACGGGAGGCAGCAGUGGGGAAGAUUGCACAGUGGGCGGAAGCCUGAUGAAGCAACGCCGCGUGCGGGAUGACGGGCGUCGGGUUGUAAACCGCUUUCGCCUAAGACGAAGCGUGAGUGACGGUACCGGGUAAAGAAGCACCGGCUAACUACGUG